GGGCGAAAGCGCGCGCAGGCGGUUUCUUAAGUCUGAUGUGAAAGCCCACAGGCUCAACCGCGGAUGGUCCUUGGAAACUGGGGAACUUGAUUGCAAAAAAGAAAAGCGGAAUUCCACGUGUAGCGGUGAAAUGCGUAGAGAUGUGGAGGAACACCAGUGGCGAAGGCGGCUUUUUGGUCUGUAACUGACGCUGAGGCGCGAAAGCGUGGGGAGCAAACAGGAUUAGAUACCCUGGUAGUCCACGCCGUAAACGAUGAGUGCUAAGUGUUAGAGGGUUUCCGCCCUUUGGUGCUGCAGCUAACGCAUUAAGCACUCCGCCUGGGGAGUACGGUCGCAAGACUGAAACUCAAAGGAAUUGACGGGGGCCCGCACAAGCGGGGGAGCAUGUGGUUUAAUUCGAAGCAACGCGAAAAACCUUACCAGGUCUUGACAUCCUCUGACAACUCUAGAGAUAGAGCGUUCCCCUUCGGGGGACAGAGUGACAGGUGGUGCAUGGUUGUCGUCAGCUCGUGUCGUGAGAUGUUGGGU
rnacentral:rRNA from 2 species